GAUGAAAUGCACUAUCUAAUGCAUAGAAUUCAAGAAGUAACAAGGCGCUAAUGACCAGCUCAGUAUGGAAGUGGUUACUUGAAUUGUGCCUUCAUUAAGUUUACUGCCAUAAACCCUGAAAGAUUUAUGUUCCUUGAAACAAGCGAUGGUCGCCUGCAUAAUUGAAAAUGGUGACGCCUCCACGUCGGCACAUGAAAAGAUCAUGCUUUGUCACAUCUUCCUCUAGAAGCGAACUUGACUCUUGUACUAGGGGGAGUGUGAUCUCGGCUCUCUCUCUCCCGAGAAAUUCUAUGUGUAGUUCUCUAGGCCUACUACACUAUGGCGUAAUCAUGUACCAAUAAACCCCAUAAAAGACAACCUGUGUAUUCAA